GAAUUCGCCCUUAGAGUUUGAUCCUGGCUCAGGACGAACGCUGGCGGCGCGCCUAACACAUACAAGUCGAACGGAGUUAUUUUGGCAGAAGCCUUCGGGUGGACGCUGAUAUAACUUAGUGGCGAACGGGUGAGUAACACGUUAGCAACCUGCCCUUCAGAGGGGGACAACAGUUGGAAACGACUGCUAAUACCGCAUAAGACCACGGUGUGGCAUCACACAGAGGUCAAAGGAGAAAUCCGCUGAAGGAUGGGCUCGCGUCCAAUUAGCUAGAUGGUGAGGUAACGGCCCACCAUGGCGACGAUUGGUAGCCGGACUGAGAGGUUGAUCGGCACAUUGGGACUGAGACACGGCCCAGACUCCUACGGGAGGCAGCAGUGGGGAAUAUUGCGCAAUGGAGGAAACUCUGAUGCAGCGACGCCGCGUGAGGGAAGAGGGUCUUCGGAUUGUAAACCUCUGUUUUCGGUGACGAACAAAUGACGGUAACCGAGUAGGAAGCCACGGCUAACUACGUGCCAGCAGCCGCGGUAAUACGUAGGUGGCAAGCGUUAUCCGGAAUUACUGGGUGUAAAGGGAGCGCAGGCGGGAUAGCAAGUCAGUUGUGAAAACUAUGGGCUCAACCCAUAAACUGCAGUUGAAACUGUUAUUCUUGAGUGGAGUAGAGGCAAGCGGAAUUCCGAGUGUAGCGGUGAAAUGCGUAGAUAUUCGGAGGAACACCAGUGGCGAAGGCGGCUUGCUGGGCUCUAACUGACGCUGAGGCUCGAAAGUGUGGGGAGCAAACAAAGUUAGAUACCCUGGUAGUCCACACUGUAAAC
rnacentral:rRNA from 1 species